GUUACAGAGAGGGAGAGGCAGAGAGAGAAGUCUUCCAUCCACUGGUUCACUCCCCAGAUGGCCACAACAGCCGGAGAUGCACUGAUCUGAAUCCAGGAGCCAGGAGCUUCUUCUGGGUUUCCUAUGGUAUAGCUCAUGGAGCCUUCAGUCCAGGCAUGACCAUCUGAACCAAUGCUGUGAUUUGUCUGCGAUUUUGGGAAAAAGUCUUUUAAAAGAUUUGCCUACUCACAUAAAUUAGAACAACUUAGGCACCUGAUGAUAAGAGGGGAUCAUUUUGAAUAGAUUAAAUUCAGAAGGCAACAAUCAACAAGACCAUGAUGUAAAAUUAAACAGGCAGUAGUCAUUUGCAUGGAGAGCCAGAGCAGAGUGACAGAAAGGAAGAAAAGAAAGAGAGAUCAUCCAUCUGCUGGUUCACGCCCCAAUGCCUGCAACAGAAGGGGCUAGGCCAGCCUGAAGCCAGGAACCAGGAACCGUGUCUGGUCUUCUACUUGAGUGGCAGGAACCUAAGAACUUGAGCCAUCAUCUGGUGCCUUCCCAGGUGCCUGAGCAGAAAGCAGGAUCAGAGCAUGGAGUGGCCAGGACGGGAACCGGGCACUCCAGUACAGGAUGCGGAUUCCGAAGCCAUGGUUUAGCCUGCUGUGCUGCUAUGGCAACCCCCAUUUUCUAUAUUUUUACUUCUGUAAAUCUCAUCCACAUCCAGAACUUUAUGUAUCUUCUCUUAGCAAAAAUCACCUCAUACAUCUCUGAUACCUUUGCCUUUGCAUGUUACAGGACCAGAAAUAUCAUAUUUCUACAACUGAAACUCAUUCCUGAAAGGUACUCCUCUUUGAUAUUUCAGUUUGUGUCAACACCCUUCUCAUGGUGAUUUGGGCUUCACACUUCAGAGUCAGUUUUUCUUUCAUCUUCUACUUUGCUUCCAGUGUAUAAU